CAUGCUUGUGCAUCGAACUGUUGAAAGUCGAUCUCAUCAAUCGAAGCCCAUGCGCAUUCCUGCGUUAUGGGCGAAGGUCGGGUUCCUGUGCUGCAUACCCACGAAAGUGGAAAUCGGUUAUGUUGCGGGUUGGUAUUCGCCUAUGCCUGUCAAGGGCAUGCGGUGAACAUGGAAGCACCUCUUGUGUUCCAAGCAUGUUCAUGCAACUGUUUUGGCACAUUUGUAGGUUGCUCGUGGUCUCGGAUGCGGAAAUUAUUUUGUAGCUGAGGGAUCAGAUCUCUCAAUUGCUCAAAACAUUCAUUAUGUACGAAACGACAUGCAGUGCUUAUUUCCAGCCCUACUCAUGCUACGAUGUUGGUGUGUUGGGGAUGAUUGGAACGAGUUCUGCGUUCGUGAAGGAAUGC
rnacentral:misc_RNA from 1 species